rnacentral:rRNA from 1 species
CAUGCAAGUCGAGCGGAUGACGGGAGCUUGCUCCUUGAUUCAGCGGCGGACGGGUGAGUAAUGCCUAGGAAUCUGCCUGGUAGUGGGGGACAACGUUUCGAAAGGAACGCUAAUACCGCAUACGUCCUACGGGAGAAAGCAGGGGACCUUCGGGCCUUGCGCUAUCAGAUGAGCCUAGGUCGGAUUAGCUAGUUGGUGGGGUAAUGGCUCACCAAGGCGACGAUCCGUAACUGGUCUGAGAGGAUGAUCAGUCACACUGGAACUGAGACACGGUCCAGACUCCUACGGGAGGCAGCAGUGGGGAAUAUUGGACAAUGGGCGAAAGCCUGAUCCAGCCAUGCCGCGUGUGUGAAGAAGGUCUUCGGAUUGUAAAGCACUUUAAGUUGGGAGGA